rnacentral:tRNA from 1 species
GGCGAAGUGGCUUAACCUGGUUAUAGCGCCACGCUCAUAACGUGGAAGUCGGGAGUUCAAAUCUCCCCUUCGCCA